GACGAACGCUGGCGGCGUGCCUAAUACAUGCAAGUCGAACGCAGUGGGGACGGGUGAGUAACACGUGGGUAACCUCCCAUCAGAGGGGAUAACACUUGGAAACAGGUGCUAAACCGAUACUGAUGGAUGAACCCGGGGUGCAUUAGCUAGUGGGUGGGGUAACGGCUCACCAAGGCCACGAUGCAUAGCCGACCGGAGAGGGGGAUCGGCCACACGGGGACUGAGAAACGGCCCAGACUCCUACGGGAGGCAGCAGUAGGGAAUCUUCGGCAAUGGAGGAAAGCCGGACCGAGCAACGCCGCGUGAUUGAAGAGGGUUUUCGGAUGGUAAAAUUCUGUUGUUAGGGAAGCGGUAUCUAACCAGAAAGCAACGGCUAACUACGUGCCAGCAGCCGCGGUAAUAC
rnacentral:rRNA from 1 species